UACGAAGGGGGCUAGCGUUGUUCGGAAUUACUGGGCGUAAAGCGCACGCAGGCGGCUCGAUAAAUUAGAAGUGAAAGCCCCGGGCUUAACCUGGGAAUUGCUUUUAAGACUGUCGGGCUAGAAUCCAGAAGAGGGUAGUGGAAUUCCGAGUGUAGAGGUGAAAUUCGUAGAUAUUCGGAAGAACGCCAGUGGCGAAGGCGACUACCUGGUCUGGCAUUGACGCUCAUGUGCGAAAGCGUGGGGAGCAAACAGG
rnacentral:rRNA from 1 species